GAUGAACGCUGGCGGCGUGCCUAAUACAUGCUAGUCGAGCGAACAGACGAGGAGCUUGCUCCUCUGACGUUAGCGGCGGACGGGUGAGUAACACGUGGAUACCCUACCUAUAAGACUGGGAUAACUUCGGGAAACCGGAGCUAAUACCGGAUAAUAUAUUGAACCGCAUGGUUCAAUAGUGAAAGACGGUUUUGCUGUCACUUAUAGAUGGAUCCGCGCCGCAUUAGCUAGUUGGUAAGGUAACGGCUUACCAAGGCGACGAUGCGUAGCCGACCUGAGAGGGUGAUCGGCCACACUGGAACUGAGACACGGUCCAGACUCCUACGGGAGGCAGCAGUAGGGAAUCUUCCGCAAUGGGCGAAAGCCUGACGGAGCAACGCCGCGUGAGUGAUGAAGGUCUUCGGAUCGUAAAACUCUGUUAUUAGGGAAGAACAAAUGUGUAAGUAACUAUGCACGUCUUGACGGUACCUAAUCAGAAAGCCACGGCUAACUACGUG
rnacentral:rRNA from 1 species